GCUGGUGUGGCUCAGGGGUAGAGCAGCGCACUCGUAAUGCGCAGGUCAUCGGUUCAAAUCCGAUCACCAGCUCCA
rnacentral:tRNA from 2 species